rnacentral:lncRNA from 1 species
UAAGAAAAUAAUAAAAAAGGAUUAUUUAAUAAAAAAUCAAUUUAUAUUAUAAUUAAAAACAAACAAAAAUUGAAAAGGGCAUCUGGGCAAUCACCCUCUUCCUCCUCCAGCACCACCACCAACGCACCUACGAAACCCUAGCCGUAAAGAGAAACGCGCACAGCUUCCAUCUCUCUAUCGGCAUAGCCCCAUGUACGAUCAGCCAUGGGCAAAUUUCACGGAUCGUUCGCACAUGCCCUUAUCCAUUCACGCAAGGACCUGCAACCAGAUAUCGACCCGCUACUGAAACCCAGACCAUAAAUCUGAUUGAAGCCCAAACCACUGCCGCACCUGAUCGAUUCUGAACCACGAAUCUGUUCUGAACCACCGCUACGAUAUUAGACCCGAUGAACCACAAAGAGCUGCCAUUUGAUUGUCGCGAUGACCUCUGCCGCAAUCUGUUUGAACCACCGCACCGCGCCCAGACCCCUGCAUCCACAAGCCCGACCUGCUUGCCUCGAGCAGAUGUAACCAAAAAAGCCGGUACCCUUACCAUAUUUGUACUGCACCUGCAUCCACUAGCACCGUCUAGCGCCUGUAUCAAGCCAAAUCCUCAUUUAUUUUCUAUUUUCGUGGUGAAAGGGGGCUUCAAGCCCAGAUCCUAUUUCGUCAAUUUUAAAUGGAGUUGAAAUGAAAUUUUCAAAAUCUUUACAAUUUUUUAAAUUUGCAAAUCAAAGGAAUUCAUAAAAUGAACACAAUUUCAUCAAUUUGGAGCUUUUGAAGUUGUUAAGGGUUGAAGAGGAGGAGGAAAACGAGUUUGGAGAAAGAAAGGCGGCGAGGUUGCUCGAGAAG